rnacentral:rRNA from 1 species
AUGAGUCAUCUUGAUGGCAUCAACAUCCCCGAUGGAAAAUUCUACCUAGGAGAUGCUGGAUUUGCAUGUCGGACAGGUGUUCUUCCACCCUUCAGAAAAAUCAUGUACCAUCUGAACGAGUUCGCUGGUAGGAACUAUCCUAAGACAAAACAUGAGUUGUUCAAUCUCACACACUCCAGUCUUAGAGUUGCUGUUGAGAGGGUGUUUGGAGCUCUGAAGAACGGGUUUAAGAUCCAAGAUCGAAAGUCAUUUCACACCUUCCUCACUCGGGUUAAGCUUAUUCUUACUUGUUGCAUUUUGCAUAACUAGAUCCUACAAUAGAGUUGUGAUGAAUUGGUGCCUGGGGAGGAAGAUGUAACACGUGAUGAUGUUAUGAGCUCCGGCCAUGCUAUGGCGGCAUUUGACAACAAAUUCUGAAAGAACAAAAAGAUUGAGUGGGCACAUGCAAUGUGGGAUAACAGGGGUCAGGCAAGGAUCUGA